GAAACGCCAGAGAGGCACACCUCCCCAGUGUCGAUUAACCAUCAGGCUUCUGGUUUAUACAUCAGUUCCUUGUGCAUCGGGUCAGUGUGAGUCAGCCCCCAGGCUGAGUGACCCUGGGUCCUCAGGAAAGCCUGAAUGUGUGACUUGCAAAGCUGAGACAUCCUUGACAUCUCUUCAUAAACUGGCACUGCUGCCUCCAACCUCAUUCACAACUGUAGACUAGAACAAGACUGAUGGGAGAGUCACAUGGGAUCUGCGCUGUGUGAGACAAGGAAAUUUAAACACGUGACUUGCAUUGUGCUUUUAUUGGAAAGCACUGGAUUAGAGGAUUACCUUAAACCAGAACCCAGAUUCAAACCCAGGCUGGCCUGUCUCCACGGACUUGCUCU